CAAAACUGUUCGUGGGGUUUCUCUAAACUCUUUGCAUCUCGUCGCCUCUCACUCUCAUUUUUUUGUAUUUUCUCAGAUCUCAAACUAAAAUCAGUCAAAUGGAAGAUGAUGACAUUGUAAUUGCGGUUUUAUACAAUGGAACAUUGGUACAAAAUGAUAGUGGUGAUUGGGAAUAUCGAAAUGGUAAAAAUGUAAUGGUUUCCGUCGGCAAGAGAUGCACAAAAUCAGAGUUAGAGGACUGUGGCAUAUUUACACUCAAGACCAUCGAAUUCUUACAUGCUAGAUUACCAUUGACAUUCACACAAGAUAACAUGGAGUUCUUUAGGAAGAAGUAUGCAUAUGAGGUUUACAACAAAGAACUUAGCAUAUGAGCUGCGUGGUGAUGCUUUUUUCUUUCCUUUUUUCAUGUUUAUAGAUGCAUAUUAUUUAUUAUAUUUGACUUUUAAUUGUAAAUAUAAUGGUGGCUUAUAAUGUUCAUUUAACAAAGAUAACAAUGUGGUAUUGAUGUAAUGAUAAGUAAUUGACCUUA